rnacentral:rRNA from 1 species
AGUCGAGCGAGUCUGCCUUGAAGAUCGGAGUGCUUGCACUCUGUGAAACAAGAUACAGGCUAGCGGCGGACGGGUGAGUAACACGUGGGUAACCUGCCCAAGAGAUCGGGAUAACACCUGGAAACAGAUGCUAAUACCGGAUAACAACAGAUGAUGCCUAUCAACUGUUUAAAAGAUGGUUCUGCUAUCACUCUUGGAUGGACCUGCGGUGCAUUAGCUAGUUGGUAGGGUAACGGCCUACCAAGGCGAUGAUGCAUAGCCGAGUUGAGAGACUGAUCGGCCACAUUGGGACUGAGACACGGCCCAAACUCCUACGGGAGGCAGCAGUAGGGAAUCUUCCACAAUGGACGCAAGUCUGAUGGAGCAACGCCGCGUGAGUGAAGAAGGGUUUCGGCUCGUAAAGCUCUGUUGUUGGUGAAGAAGGACGGGGGUAGUAACUGACCUUUGUUUGACGGUAAUCAAUUAGAAAGUCACGGCUAACUACGUGCCAGCAGCCGCGGUAAUACGUAGGUGGCAAGCGUUGUCCGGAUUUAUUGGGCGUAAAGCGAGUGCAGGCGGUUCGAUAAGUCUGAUGUGAAAGCCUUCGGCUCAACCGGAGAAUUGCAUCAGAAACUGUCGAGCUUGAGUACAGAAGAGGAGAGUGGAACUCCAUGUGUAGCGGUGAAAUGCGUAGAUAUAUGGAAGAACACCGGUGGCGAAGGCGGCUCUCUGGUCU